AUUGAAUUUUGGUUUGCGAAGACGGCCGGCGGGUAGGUGUCGGGAUCGUUGGGAUCGAAAGUGACGCCGGCGGCUUGGAGUUCACGGGCGUUUUCGAAAAAGAUGGUGUACGGCACGUCAUCGGAAUCCCAAUUACCGAAUUUCGGAACUUGGGUUUUGUUUUGGUUUUUAUGUUGCUGGAAAAAGAAGAGAAACAAAUAAGAACAAGAAAACACUCACUGCCAUGAGCUGUGGCAGCUCCUUGGUUGCUGCGGCGGCAACGGCAAUGACGGGAACGGCGGAGUAUGGAAGAAUUUGUAUUGUUAGAGAAGAAAAGAAGAUGGAGGAGUAAGGAGGUAUUGGAAGUUUUUUGUUUCUUAUCAGACAAUUAUAGUUCGAUGGUUUCUAAGUUAGCUGUCGAUGUGUUUAUUGUGUUUUGGCUUUUGCUUUGUUUCUCUUGUGGGUAAUCUUCUGUUUGUUUGCUAUAAGUUUCUUUCGAAGAGAUUAUUAUUUGAGUCGUCUAAUCGUAUAGCCUUAGCUUCAAGAUGUAAAGAAAUAUGAUAUACGAAUAUAAUUCAAAUGCCUGUUAUUAACUAGGAUUUGAGAUA